GGAGACUGUUACAGACAGAUUCAGAUAAAUUUCGCAACACUCACCUAUUAUUAUUAGUUUAAAAAAAACAUCAAUUUAUAUAGAACUGUCAUUGAAAACAAAAGAAAAUAUUUAACAGGAAAUAUUUCACAUGCUGCGGUGUAGACAGGGAAGACGUUGCAUUGGUUUCUGCCAUUUAUAUAUCGAAUUCCUCUGGAUUUAACGUCAACUUGGGAAUUGUUCACAGUUCGUUAACACUUUUGAUAGGCACUGCCGACUAUUCGCGUGACUUGUAGGCCUAAAUUACUUAGGCCUAUUACAUAUCGAUCAGGAUAUAUACAUUAGCAACAUCCGAGUGGAAAGCGUUUAGCUUUUUACCUUGGGAGAUAACAUCGGCGUUGCUGGAACUAUAUAAUGUAUAUUAUAUCAACACUAACACAUAUCGGAUGUAGGACUAUCAUAUCAGACAUACAGUCACGCGUCUAGCAUUGUUUGUAUUCGUUGGUUUAUUACGGAGGUCCAGUAAUUAAUUUUGAGUAUUAUUUAUUAACUGAAAACCAAAGUAGGAGUCAUCGUACCUACAAUCAUGGAGGAAUCAUGCUACAACGUGGGUCUGUACAACAAAGAACUAAAGCAAUAUACAAGCAACGCGAGCAUGCGCAUUGGGAAGAAGUUAGCAGAAGCAGGCGAUCGAACGCAGGAUAACCAAAGAAGAAAACAUAGGAAACAUAGGAUGUGUUUGAUUAUCGUUUGCGCAUAUAUAUUAGUUUCUGGUAUUGCGGCGGUCUCAACAUUAAUUGUUUUACUAUUAAACCAUGGUUCAACGACGUCGGGGGUAUCUAAAUUAAACGUAACAACCUGCUCUUGCUCAGAAAGGUAAGGAGAGUUCAAUCGUUGAAAAAUCGUACCGGAAUGUUUAUGUCAUAGGCGUAUAUAUAAGGAUUGAGCUUGUCUUGCCUUGUUUCAUGUUACUCAGCGCCGGUGUAAUUCAAAAGGCAAAGGAGAGUGUGUGCACAUUUACGGGUGCAUUUUCAUUUUGCUGGAACAGAUAGAGGGGUCUGAUCAUGGUCUGAUGAACAUUUGAUACAGAACAAUCAAAUAAAUUCA